UACGUAGGGUGCAAGCGUUGUCCGGAAUUAUUGGGCGUAAAGAGCUCGUAGGCGGUUUGUCGCGUCUGCUGUGAAAAUCCAGGGCUUAACCCUGGACCUGCAGUGGGUACGGGCAGACUGGAGUGCGGUAGGGGAGAUCGGAAUUCCUGGUGUAGCGGUGAAAUGCGCAGAUAUCAGGAGGAACACCGGUGGCGAAGGCGGUUCUCUGGGCAUGUCCUGACGCUGAGGAGCGAAAGUGUGGGGAGCGAACAGG
rnacentral:rRNA from 1 species